GCCUUGGCCAUGGUGUUUUAUCACAGCCACAGAAAGUAACCGAUGUGGUAACCUGAAUUCAUCUGCUCUCCUAUAAGCAACCUCGCCAACACCCACUACGCUUGGCAUGUGAGGCCGAACCCACUGACAAGGAGAGCCUGAGGAGCAGCAGCUGUAGCAUCAAUCACCCCAUCUUCCGAGAAGGUUCGAAGAGCACCUUCACAAUCACAUUUGAUGUCUCUUACAAGGCCUUCCUGGGAGAUAGGUUGCUUAUGAGAGCCAAUGCAAGCAGUGAGAACAAUAAGCCUGGAACCAACAAGACUGCCUUCCAGCUGGGACUCCCAGUGAAAUACACUGUGUAUACAGUGAUCCUCAGGUACUAAAUCCUUAACCUUUCCCUUGGC